GGGCAGAUGGCCGAGUGGUCCAAGGCGGUAGAUUUAGGCUCUAUUCUCGUAAGAGGCGUGGGUUCGAACCCCACUCUGCUCA